CAGUCGCCGCGGGAAUACAGAGGGUGCAAGCGUUAAUCGGAAUUACUGGGCGUAAAGCGCGCGUAGGUGGUUUGUUAAGUUGGAUGUGGAAUCCCCGGGCUCAACCUGGGAACUGCAUCCAAAACUGGCAGGCUAGAGUAGGGCAGAGGGUGGUGGAAUUUCCUGUGUAGCGGUGAAAUGCGUAGAUAUAGGAAGGAACACCAGUGGCGAAGGCGACCACCUGGGCUCAUACUGACACUGAGGUGCGAAAGCGUGGGGAGCAAACAGGAUUAGAUACCCCGGUAGUCCCUGUCUCUUAUAC
rnacentral:rRNA from 1 species